ensembl:lncRNA
GGGGUCUUGCUAUAUUGGCCAGGCUGGUCUUGAACUCCUGGGCUCAAGCAAUUCUCCUGCCUCAGCCUCGUGAAGUGCUGGGACUACAAGCAUCAGCCACUGUGCCAGAUGGAUUGAGUUCUUAAAUUGGGUCCUAUGGCUUGCUCAAGUGUAGCGGUCUCUAUGCAAUAUCCUUGGCUCCCACACCUUCCCUUAGCAGAGGGUUGUGGGUGAGGCAGCUUCCUUAGGAAAAGACAGUGGGUAUGAAGCUGGGGAUCUAAGAGAUUCCUUCCUUAGCAAGGGCUGUGUGGAAUCUCUUCUAGAGAAGUGGCUCCAGGAAUCACAGCUCCAUUCAUUCUCAGAGGUAGCAAUGGCAGCAGGUUCAGAGGCAGGCACCCAGUGUCUAGUUUCUAGUUUUGGGGGAUGCCCCGUGUAAGCUGUGAUGUCCAGUAGGCCCAGUAGCAGCUGGACUGUCUUCAUCAGAUUGCUCUAGGAUGUGAUUUUGAGCUUGGUCCGUAGCUGUAAAAAUCUUCAAUCCUGAUUCUCCUGUCCUUAUUGAAAUUCUGUGAACCACCAAUAUUAUUUUAAUCAAGUUCUUUUCUGCUUAGCUCAAUUGAUUUCUGUUGUUUGUGAGAACAUUGACUGAUUUAGGGAAUAUGUUAUAGAGGGCUUCCAUGGGUCAAAAGGUAAUUUUGCUGGUCUUGUCUGUGGCCUCCUCACCCCCUGCCCAAUUCCAUGAAUCUAAGUAACUUGGCCAAGUUCACACAGCAGGUGGCAUAGCCAUUACUAAAACCUCCAACACCCUCCAACAGACCUCAUAAUCCUUAGCCCAGUUGAUCUCCCUGUGAAAAAUCCUGGGGACCUCUACCCCUGCCUUGCACUUGGGAGUCAACUCAGUUUCCUUAACUUGUCACGUACACUUGCCUUUAAGUCUUAGUUUCUUGGAUUUAUGGGAUCUCAAAUUCCAUUCAAUGAAUCUAAAAUCCAACUAGUUAGGGGAGAGGUGGUUAGAGUCACCACACAAAUGGGGGAGUUGGCCUUAGGUGGGCACUUGAAUGAAGUAUCCACUGUUAAUGGGAAGACACAGUGUACAGGUAGAGAAACAUGUAGGCCAAUGAGUAGAUUUUAUUGAUGAGAGGAUGUGGAAAUUCUCUUUGGUUCCUAAUAUUUUCUCAGUGAAAUGAAGAGCAAUGUUAUCAGCUGAGAGUGAGGGGGAGUAUUAGAGGUUGAGAAGGAGAAGGAGUGAAAUGGUAUACUAAGGAGAGUGGGAGAGUGAAUUGGUUUAGGGAAAUUAGGGUGGCUAUAUACCACUGAAGGUCCACUUGAGGAUUCUGGCCAUACAUUUAUUCAUUUUUGUUUAUUUAUUUAUUUUGAGACAGGGUAUCACUUUGUUGCCCAGGCUGCAGUACAGUGGUACAAUCAUAGCUCACUGUAGCCUCCAGCCUCUGGGCUCAAGUGAUCCUCCCUGCCUCAACCUCCUGAAUAGCUGGGACUACAGAUGUGUACCAACAUGCCCAGCUAAUUUUUAAAAAUUUCUUGUAGAGAUGAGAUCUCACUAUGUUAACCAGCCUGGCCAACAUAUAGUGAAACCCUGCCUCUCAAAAAAAAAAAAAAAAA